rnacentral:rRNA from 1 species
UACGAAGGGGGGCUAGCGUUGCUCGGAAUGACUGGGCGUAAAGGGCGCGUAGGCGGAUGGCACAGUCAGAUGUGAAAUUCCCGGGCUUAACCUGGGGGCUGCAUUUUGAUACGUGUUGUCUAGAGUGAGGAAGAGGGUUGUGGAAUUCCCAGUGUAGAGGUGAAAUUCGUAGAUAUUGGGAAGAACACCGGUGGCGAAGGCGGCAACCUGGUCCUUGACUGACGCUGAGGCGCGAAAGCGUGGGAGCAA